AUGUCCCAUCUCGCUCCCCGGGUCACCCCCACCUGCUGGGCAGGAAGUCCGCGGGACUCAGCCCCCCUUAAUCACCGCCACCUCCCUGUGACCCGCCUCAAUCACGUCUCUUUACAGUCGGGCAGAGCCGGCUGGGCCUCCUCAAACUUCCAUAUCUGCCCCGGGAGAUCACUGAUACGCCUGAUGGCAUUUGCUCGCCUCCACGCCCUGGGUCCAGCAUUCCGGGAGUCACGCAACCCCACGGGCCGGGGCGGAAGCCACUCCCACAGCGGCCAGGCCCCGGAACCUCCCCAGCCCGAGAAGUACAUGAACCAGGCCUUUCUUUACCACCAGCUGGCUGGCCAGCCCUUCUGCCCUGCACCGCCCCCGCCUCCCCAACACACACACCUCUACCUUCUCUCUCGGCUCCGGGGAUCUCCAGAUCCCAAAUUUCUCCUGCUGGAGAGGGAGGAAGUUGCUAACCUGAAGGCCACUCCAGCCAUCCAUCCAUCAUUCACUCACCCACUCAUUUGUUCAUUCAGGGCUCAGAGAGCGUCUGCUCUGAGCUCGGCCCUAUGUGCUGGUGGCAGAGAUGCCCUCCAGUCGCUGCCCUCGGGGAGUUCGUCAUCAGGAUGGGAAGAGGACCCAGGGUACCAUCUGGAGGGCUGUUGCAGCAGAGAAGCCCGGGAGCCCCAUCGCGCCCCUCCUUCAUCCUCACCUCCCUCAUCCUCACCUCUUUCCUGCACCCGGCCACCAGCUUCACCUAAUGAGAUUUGCUGGGAUCUUCACGCUCCUGGGAGCAGCCCGAAGCCAAGGGUGAUGGGUUGUUGUUCAAUAUCUCGGUCGUGUCCAACUCUUCGCAGCCCCAUGAACUACAGUACGCCAGGCCUUCCNNNNNNNNNNNNNNNNNNNNNNNNNNNNNNNNNNNNNNNUUUGCUCAGACUCAUGUCCGCUGAGUCGGUGAUGCCAUCCAAUUCCCUUCUUCUCCUGCCCUCAGUCUUUCCUAGCAUCAGGAUCAUUUCCAGUGAGUUGGCUCUUCUCAUCAGUGGCCAAAGUAUUGGAGCUUCAGCUUCAGCGUCAGUCUUUCCGAUGAAUAUUCAGGGUUGA
rnacentral:lncRNA from 1 species